GAAGAAAGGAUGAAGUUGGCUUUCCUAAAGUGGAAUAGACUGGCCCAGUGAAACCAGUAAUUCCUCCCAGUAACAGGGGCUUAGGCAAGGUUAACAGAAAUGGAAACUUCAGGAGAGCCUGUGGGAGAGGAUGAAUUCUGCUGCAGCCUUUCUCUACAUCAAAAAAAGACCCUUUUCAGUACAAGAUCCUUAUGCUACUACUGAAGUGCAAGUCUCCCUCAUUGCUGGCUGAACUAAUCAGCAGUAGAACAUUAAAACAUGGGGAAUGUUGAGGUGCCCAAAGCCGGAAGGACAGGA